rnacentral:rRNA from 1 species
UACGUAGGGGGCAAGCGUUGUCCGGAAUCAUUGGGCGUAAAGCGCGUGUAGGCGGCCUUGUAAGUCCGUUCUGAAAGUCCGGGGCUCAACCCCGGGAGGCGGAUGGAUACUGCAAGGCUCGAGUCCGGAAGAGGCAAGUGGAAUUCCCGGUGUAGCGGUGAAAUGCGCAGAUAUCGGGAGGAACACCAAUGGCGAAGGCAGCUUGUUGGGACGGUACUGACGCUGAGACGCGAAAGCGUGGGGAGCAAACAGG